rnacentral:rRNA from 1 species
GACGAACGCUGGCGGCGCGCCUAACACAUGCAAGUCGAACGAGCGAGAGAGAGCUUGCUUUCUUGAGCGAGUGGCGAACGGGUGAGUAACGCGUGAGAAACCUGCCUCAAAGAGGGGGACAACAGUUGGAAACGACUGCUAAUACCGCAUAAGCCCACGGUGCCGCAUGGCACAGAGGGAAAAGGAGCAAUCCGCUUUGAGAUGGCCUCGCGUCCGAUUAGCUAGUUGGUGAGGUAACGGCCCACCAAGGCGACGAUCGGUAGCCGGACUGAGAGGUUGAACGGCAAAAUUGGACCUGGACAACGCCCAGACUCCUACGGGAGGCAGCAGUGGGGAAUAUUGCACAAUGGGGGAAACCCUGAUGCAGCGACGCCGCGUGGAGGAAGAAGGUCUUCGGAUUGUAAACUCCUGUUGUUGGGGAAGAUAAUGACGGUACCCAACAAGGAAGUGACGGCUAACUACGUG